GACGAACGCUGGCGGCGUGCUUAACACAUGCAAGUCGAACGGAAAGGCCCUGCUUUUGUGGGGUGCUCGAGUGGCGAACGGGUGAGUAACACGUGAGUAACCUGCCCUUGACUUUGGGAUAACUUCAGGAAACUGGGGCUAAUACCGGAUAGGAGCUCCUGCUGCAUGGUGGGGGUUGGAAAGUUUCGGCGGUUGGGGAUGUACUCGCGGCUUAUCAGCUUGUUGGUGGGGUAGUGGCUUACCAAGGCUUUGACGGGUAGCCGGCCUGAGAGGGUGACCGGCCACAUUGGGACUGAGAUAGGGCCCAGACUCCUACGGGAGGCAGCAGUAGGGAAUAUUGAAUAAGGGGCGGAAGCCUGAUGCAGAAACGCCGCGUGCGGGAUGACGGGCUUCGGGUUGGAAACCGCUUUCGCCUGGGACGAAGCGUGAGUGACGGUAAUGGGUAAAGAAGCACCGGCUAACUACGUG
rnacentral:rRNA from 1 species